UGGCCCAGUCAGCUACCCGGUUUUCCUCUCGCAGACAGUGCUGCAACUCUAGGUCAGAGAAUUGGGAAAUCAGAAGAAGAGCCUCCGCAACCAACGGCCGAAGCUCCCAGAUCGGCGAUCUACUGUCCCGCACUGCAUCAAUGAGAGUAAGGCAGUCAGAUUCAAUCACCAAUUUAGUAUGCUGCAAUUCUUGGCUCAGUAGAUGGUGAAGGGUGAAGGGUUCCGAGGUCUGGAGGACGCCAAAGGUGUUCGGGAGUCAUGGAUCCGAGCCCUGAUGUCGAUCGGUUGACUACAGGAACGGAGAAGGCGCUGGUUUGAGCUACAGUCGCUUCAACUACAAAAUGUGGGUCCGGUUGCUGAUUGCGGAAGACAAAGUUGUUGCACAUUCGCCAAAUUUGCCGGAGGACAUUUGCAGUUAACUCCAAUCCAGGUGUAUCUACAACCUUUACUUUCUAACUCUAACAAGGCACAAUCAUUUAGGACAGCGUGAAAAGACAGCAUGCGAGUAAGGUCCGCAGGUCUCUUUCCAACCUUCUCCCAAGGGUAAAGAAUGUCAUUAAAGUCCCCAACACAUAUCCAAGGGAAGUUAUUCACUCUGUUGAUUUGCUGAAUCUCAUCCCACAUAAUCUAUCGUUGGUUAUAGUUAUAAGGAGCAUGAAUACAGGUUAGGUGAAUGGUUCUAUCUUCCUGCAGCAUCUUACAAGUCAUAUCCAACAUGUGUUGUGAAGAACUAAGCACUUGUAUAGAGACUUGAGCAUUCCAAAACACUGUUAAUCUGCCGGCUAUACCAACUGGGUUAAGGAUAUAUGAAUUCAGAAAAUGUAUGAUUGCUAUGGUUAUAGGAGUGCCUUGCAUAACUGUCGACUGAAUGGGUUGCGUGUCAGAGCCCACUCCAUGAUUGCUAGUUGUAUCGACUGCACAAGAGAGCAGCGCAGGAUUAACAGUUGCUGGUUGGGGCAAUAAUGGGACAUGGUGUAGCUGUGAGGGUGGGGUUUCAGAUACGGCUUCUUCAUUUUGAUCUAGGUUGUCCUGUUCCGUAUAGAGUGUAUGCCAAUACGGGCUACACUCCCUCACCUCAGCCUAAAGCCAUUGGCCAUAGGCCAUUUUUUCUCUGCCUUCUAAUUUUACUUUAGUAAAGGGUAUAUCCUUGCAGUACGAUGCAUAAUGUCCCAGCUUUCCACACAAGUAGCAGAAAUGCGAGAGACGUUCAUAGCGGAAAUCGAGCCAUAAAUGCUUACCCUCAAGCUGAAUUAGCUUCCCUGUCUUGAGAGAUUCAUAGCGGAAAUCGAACUUCUAAGACUUGACCCAAAUGUUUCACCGCCUUGCUAAUCAGCGAUUCUGUACAACAUUCUAAAGGUAAACCAAAUACCUGAAUCCAGAAGGCACAAGUAGAAAAGUCAUAGCAGUGUAGAGGAGUGUUGGGGGUCCAUGGUUUAAAUAUGACCAAGUGGCCAGAGAAACACCAAGGUGGUGGAGCAUCAUCCCAGUCUUCUAUUAACUGUUCAGUAGUAAGUCGGCCCAACCUGUUGCAGAGAGCAGACAAUAUAGGGGUGAGUCGGCAUUUACUUCAGAUGUCAUUUAGUUGUCCUGAACAUAGAACAAUACAGGGGUGAGCACUAUAAGACGCAAAACAGAGAUAAAGUCUGAAAAUCUUCAAUCCAGGCGAAACUCAGAGCAGCAAAGAAGGUAAGUUCUGCCGAGCCCAGCCAAUUGUCCACAAUCAACAUUGCAUACCAAGACACACACGAAUUCGACAUGCCCAAUGCAGACUAGACCUCACAGGUAGAUAUUUAGCUACUCCUGGCCAGCGAUAGAUUGGGAAUCCUCAAGCUAAUGGCAGAUGGAGAAAUCGAGGACAUGCAGCAAUCAAACCAAGUAGAAGCCGAAGAAAGUUGGGGGUGUAGGCCGAUCCCAACUGACUGAUUCCUGUGGAAGUCAGCGGAACUGAAGGGCUGAGCGCAAUCCAACCCACUGUAAACUGAUGAAGAAAUCACCGAAGGGUGAAGAGACGCAGCAUCUUGAGGUCGCUGAAACCCGCAAUUGACAAAGGAGAGGAGACCAGAGACACCGGGAUGAAAGAAAAGGGGAUAAUACGAAGAUGGGAAUGGAACAGGAAGGGGUAAUUAGGGUUGAGGGUUUGAAAACUACCAUUAAGGUAGAGAAAGACUCUACAUAUCGAGAGAGACGACAGGAUUUGACUGGGAUUGUUAUUGGAGAGACUUGAGGAGAAAAUGAACGUAAGUUCAAGACUUGAUUAGAUAAAAUAAAAGUUUUAAGGAGUUGAUUGAAAACUGUACAACAGUUCAGGGAAGAAAGUAGAAUUUCACUUGAUCCAUACGAGCGAA